GUGUUCUGAUAUGAGAAGGAAUGGAAAAUGGUUGGUUGUCGGAGAUGAUAUCCUUUCAUGUCAAGCUUCAAAGUGUUCUAGGUCAAAGUUUGUAGAGAAAUAACGAUGUGGACGUCUACACUCGUUGAAAUUGAUCAUGUUGGGAAUACUUGUGCAACUGCGCCAUGCAAGAUGAGGGGAGCAGCAUUCCCACAGGGGGCCUGGAAUCAAUUACCAUUCUCCCGAGGAAGUGGAUUGGCUACCAAAGAAUGACAACAUGCCAGACAGCCACACAGUCAGGCUGUCAUCAUUUGAUUUACACAUAAUCAACUCGUAAUUGUAUCACAUUGGGCUGCAGGUACAUGUAAUUUGGAAUAGAAUAUGAAUUCACAGGGGUUUUGGCAGGCAACGCUAUUGUGUCCCUCUGGUAAUGAAGGAGAAGCGAGCGCUUUAAUGUGGUUGGCCCCUGGUAGUCUUGUGCUGCUAACCAUGCACAGUCAUGGAGGCUUUGGAACCAGACUUUUGUGCUCCGACAGUUUGAUCGACAGCUGACUUGACUGGCUCCGGAGUUGCCAGUCACUCCACAGCUGAAAGCAGCCCCAAUGCAAGUGUCUUACGAUCAAGAAAAACUUGAAAGGAUUUUUCCCCCUCUCCUAUAUUGUAUAUAUAGUGUUGUUGUGUCUCUCUCUCUGUCUCUGUCUCUCUCUCACUGAGUGAUACUCCAGCAGUAUCCUCUGGACACUGUGAAGUUUGCAAUGUGGAACUACUCUUUGCAAAGUUUACAGCAAGAGAAAUGGUGUCCAGGUUUCCGCUUCACUGUAAUGCUGCUAGGUUAUCAGGCAACUUAAAUUAUUAAUUUAAUUAUGUGACACUCAGAGUGCUCUUAAGGGAAGUGAGAUGCAAUAAAUCAUCUCAGCUUUAUGAGGUAACAGAUGGCA